rnacentral:rRNA from 1 species
UACGUAGGGGGCAAGCGUUAUCCGGAAUUACUGGGUGUAAAGGGAGCGUAGGCGGCAUGGUAAGCCAGAUGUGAAAGCCCGGGGCUUAACCCCGAGGAUUGCAUUUGGAACUAUCAAGCUAGAGUACAGGAGAGGAAAGCGGAAUUCCUAGUGUAGCGGUGAAAUGCGUAGAUAUUAGGAAGAACACCAGUGGCGAAGGCGGCUUUCUGGACUGAAACUGACGCUGAGGCUCGAAAGCGUGGGGAGCGAACAGG